rnacentral:lncRNA from 1 species
AGUGCUCCUCUCUCCCUCCUCAGCCUCAUUGUAUUUUGUUUCAUUUUUUUAUUCUUUGAUAGUCAAAUGAAGAGAGAAAUGUUAUGGAGGAGGCAAAAGGCUUUCGACCUUCAAGAUCUGUAGCUCAGCAGGAACUUGAUGGGAAACCUGCUUCCCCUACUCCAGUUAUUGUGGCUUCCCAAACAGCCAACGAAGAAGAAGAGGUACCAGAUUCUGCAGUGCUGGAGCUGAGCUGAUGGCAUGGCAGUCCUACAGCGAGGGACAGAGGGAGUGGCUGGAACAGAGCAUCUGGUUGAAGCUGGGUUCAGGUCUGGAUACAGACCGGCUCCAUGCCUCGAGAACCUGUCAAGAACCUCCACAGUGACACUGGAAUUCUGAGGGCCGCCAUGACCAUUUGAGGUAGCUUGGUCUGGAAAUGGAUCUGAUCCCUUAGCCUCACUGUAGAACAGAACUAAACAUGGUUAGGACAUGGUGUGCCUUGUCCCACAACCUGACAAGAAAAAAGGACAAAGUGGAAGAGAAAAACUAAUAAUAAAAAGGAACUAAUAACUAGAAAGUAGAUGUGGCGUGAUUUACUCUGUCCUUUCAUCUCUUGUAGAAAAGACAGAUAACCUAAUGAGAUCUUGGUAGUCUUGUGGAA